GGCAUCAUGAGUCCGCAUGUUCACAUGAUUAAAGGUAUUCCGGUAGACGAUGGGGAUGCGUUCCAUUAGAUAGUAGGCGGGGUAACGGCCCACCUAGUCUUCGAUGGAUAGGGGUUCUGAGAGGAAGGUCCCCCACAUUGGAACUGAGACACGGUCCAAACUCCUACGGGAGGCAGCAGUGAGGAAUAUUGGUCAAUGGGCGAGAGCCUGAACCAGCCAAGUAGCGUGAAGGAUGACUGCCCUAUGGGUUGUAAACUUCUUUUAUAAAGGAAUAAAGUCGGGUAUGCAUACCCGUUUGCAUGUACUUUAUGAAUAAGGAUCGGCUAACUCCGUGCCAGCAGCCGCGGUAAUACGGAGGAUCCGAGCGUUAUCCGGAUUUAUUGGGUUUAAAGGGAGCGUAGAUGGAUGUUUAAGUCAGUUGUGAAAGUUUGCGGCUCAACCGUAAAAUUGCAGUUGAUACUGGAUAUCUUGAGUGCAGUUGAGGCAGGCGGAAUUCGUGGUGUAGCGGUGAAAUGCUUAGAUAUCACGAAGAACUCCGAUUGCGAAGGCAGCCUGCUAAGCUGCAACUGACAUUGAGGCUCGAAAGUGUGGGUAUCAAACAGGAUUAGAUACCCUGGUAGUCCACACGGUAAACGAUGAAUACUCGCUGUUUGCGAUAUACAGCAAGCGGCCAAGCGAAAGCGUUAAGUAUUCCACCUGGGGA
rnacentral:rRNA from 1 species